rnacentral:rRNA from 1 species
AUUGAACGCUGGCGGCAUGCCUUACACAUGCAAGUCGAACGGCAGCACGGGAGCAAUCCUGGUGGCGAGUGGCGAACGGGUGAGUAAUACAUCGGAACGUGCCCAGUAGUGGGGGAUAACCCGGCGAAAGCCGGACUAAUACCGCAUACGACCUACGGGUGAAAGCGGGGGAUCGCAAGACCUCGCGUUAUUGGAGCGGCCGAUGGCAGAUUAGCUAGUUGGUGGGGUAAAAGCCACCAAGGCGACGAUCUGUAGCUGGUCUGAGAGGACGACCAGCCACACUGGGACUGAGACACGGCCCAGACUCCUACGGGAGGCAGCAGUGGGGAAUUUUGGACAAUGGGCGCAAGCCUGAUCCAGCCAUGCCGCGUGUGGGAAGAAGGCC